rnacentral:rRNA from 1 species
GACGAACGCUGGCGGCGUGCCUAAUACAUGCAAGUCGAACGGUUUAGUUCCAAGAGGCUUGCCUUUUGGAACUAGACAGUGGCGGACGGGUGAGUAACACGUAGGCAACCUACCUGUCAAACCGGGAUAACCUCGGGAAACCGAAGCUAAACCCGGAUAAGCUCCUUUUUCGCAUGAAGGGGGAGUGAAAAGGUGCGACCUGAUGACAGAUGGGCCUGCGGCGCAUUAGCUAGUAGGUAGGGUAACGGCCUACCUAGGCGAUGAUGCGUAGCCGACCUGAGAGGGCGUCCGGCCACACUGGGACUGAGACACGGCCCAGACUCCGACGGGAGGCAGCAGUAGGGAAUCUUCGGCAAUGGGCGAAAGCCUGACCGAGCAACGCCGCGUGAGUGAGGAAGGCCUUCGGGGGGUAAAACUCUGUUGUUUGGGAAGAAGGGAAAGGGUAGGACCCUUAGGUGACGGUACCAAACGAGAAAGCCCCGGCUAACUACG